rnacentral:rRNA from 1 species
CACACACCGCCCGUAGAGUUUGAUCCUGGCUCAGCACACCCCGCCCGUAGAGUUUGAUCAUGGCUCAACACACACCCCCCGUAGAGUUUGAACCUUCGGGUGAAAGCAGGGGCCCUUCGGGCCUUGCGCGGAUAGAUGAGCCGAUGUCGGAUUAGCUAGUUGGCGGGGUAAAGGCCCACCAAGGCGACGAUCCGUAGCUGGUCUGAGAGGAUGAUCAGCCACACUGGAACUGAGACACGGUCCAGACUCCUACGGGAGGCAGCAGUGGGGAAUAUUGGACAAUGGGCGCAAGCCUGAUCCAGCCAUACCGCGUGGGUGAAGAAGGCCUUCGGGUUGUAAAGCCCUUUUGUUGGGAAAGAAAAGCAGUCGAUUAAUACUCGGUUGUUCUGACGGUACCCAAAGAAUAAGCACCGGCUAACUUCGUGCCAGCAGCCGCGGUAAUACGAAGGGUGCAAGCGUUACUCGGAAUUACUGGGCGUAAAGCGUGCGUAGGUGGUUGUUUAAGUCUGUUGUGAAAGCCCUGGGCUCAACCUGGGAAUUGCAGUGGAUACUGGGCGACUAGAGUGUGGUAGAGGGUAGUGGAAUUCCCGGUGUAGCAGUGAAAUGCGUAGAGAUCGGGAGGAACAUCCAUGGCGAAGGCAGCUACCUGGACCAACACUGACACUGAGGCACGAAAGCGUGGGGAGCAAACAGGAUUAGAUACCCUGGUAGUCCACGCCCUAAACGAUGCGAACUGGAUGUUGGGUGCAAUUUGGCACGCAGUAUCGAAGCUAACGCGUUAAGUUCGCCGCCUGGGGAGUACGGUCGCAAGACUGAAACUCAAAGGAAUUGACGGGGGCCCGCACAAGCGGUGGAGUAUGUGGUUUAAUUCGAUGCAACGCGAGACCCUUACCUGGUCUUGACAUGUCGAGAACUUUCCAGAGAUGGAUUGGUGCCUUCGGGAACUCGAACACAGGUGCUGCAU